UGCCACCCUCUGUAUCAUAAGACUUUUACAUCCAGUAUUUUGUUCAAAAUAAGUGGAUUUGCUUGUUAAUGUGGCUACAUUGAGACACAGGUAAUGCUUGCAUCACAGCAAGUUUAUUGCAGUGGUGACAAUGAGACCUGUAACAUUU
ensembl:snoRNA